CGGAGGGUGCAAGCGUUAUCCGGAUUUACUGGGUUUAAAGGGUGUGUAGGCGGGUCUUUAAGUCAGUGGUGAAAUCUCCGAGCUCAACUUGGAAACUGCCAUUGAUACUAUUGAUCUUGAAUUUGUUGAGGUAGGCGGAAUAAGUCAUGUAGCGGUGAAAUGCAUAGAUAUGACUUAGAACACCAAUUGCGAAGGCAGCUUGCUAAACAAAUAUUGACGCUGAGGCACGAAAGCGUGGGGAUCAAACAGGAUUAGAUACCCUGGUAGUCCACGCCCUAAACGAUGAUUACUCGACAUACGCGAUACACUGUGUGUGUCUGAGCGAAAGCAUUAAGUAAUCCACCUGGGAAGUACGACCGCAAGGUUG
rnacentral:rRNA from 1 species